rnacentral:rRNA from 1 species
GUGGGGAAUAUUGGGCAAUGGGGGAAACCCUGACCCAGCAACGCCGCGUGAAGGAAGAAGGUUUUCGGAUCGUAAACUUCUAUCCUUGGUGAAAAUAAUGAUGGUAGCCAAGAAGGAAGCCCCGGCUAACUACGUGCCAGCAGCCGCGGUAAUACGUAGGGGGCAAGCGUUGUCCGGAAUGAUUGGGCGUAAAGGGCGCGUAGGCGGCCUGGUAAGUCUGGAGUGAAAGUCCUGCUUUUAAGGUGGGAAUUGCUUUGGAUACUGUCGGGCUUGAGUGCAGGAGAGGUAAGCGGAAUUCCCGGUGUAGCGGUGAAAUGCGUAGAGAUCGGGAGGAACACCAGUGGCGAAGGCGGCUUACUGGACUGUAACUGACACUGAGGCACGAAAGCGUGGGGAGCAAACAGGAUUAGAUACCCCAGUAGUCU